CGUCGCUCGUGGCGGACGUGUGUCGCGCUUUCUGUUUAUUCCACCCGCUAUCGUUAAUGCCGCCAUAAUCCAACCGUGAAUUUGUUUUUGGUACCGUAAUAUUGUCGGUCACAUCGGUGUUAGUUUAUGACUAUAUAUUCCGGAGAGAAGUGUAACAGUGUUAUUAAAUUCGUUCAAUGCUUCCGUUCGAGUGAAAUGACAUUUUGAUCAACAGCGAUAUAAUGUUCAGUUACUCAAAUUUUAAUGUUGGUGAAAUACAACACUAACUUAGUCGGUGAAUUGGACUGAAAAGCUGCACGAUGUACUCGACAUCCACGGCGUCGACGACAACGUCUGGGUCUCGCGGCGAGCCCGCGGUGGGCCCGAUGGAGCGACGCGUGCGUGUCGUGCGUCUGCUGCGGCCGCGCCGCGCCGCACCUGCAUUCGGUUUCGCUUUGCGCGGCGGCCGCGAGUAUGCCACCGGAUUCUUCGUAUCCAAAGUCGACAUUAAUUCCGAAGCACAUCUGCAAGGAUUAAAGGUGGGCGAUCAAAUAGUGAGUGUGAAUGGAUACCGGGUGGAGGACGCAGUGCACGCCGAGCUCGCGCAUUACCUCACCUCGCAGUCCCGGCUUAAGAUCAAAGUGCGACACGUGGGAAUGAUUCCGGUCAAAGAGAAGGAUCACGAGCCGCUCUCUUGGCAAUUCGUGUCUGAGCGCGCGUCGCUGUCAUCUGCCGCGUCUUCGUCACCCACACUGUGCGAUCUCGCCGACCGCCUCACCGAUAUGCGUCUCUCCAUACUGGUGCCGCCACGCGCCAAGCUUGGCUGCGGAAUAUGCAAGGGCCCCGACUGGAAGCCUGGUAUCUUUGUGCAAUUUGUGAGGGAAGCUGGAAUAGCGCGGGAGGCCGGCUUGCGGCCCGGUGAUCAGAUUUUGUCCUGCAAUGGUCAAGAUUUUGCCAAUAUCUCCUUCAAUGAGGCGAUAUCAGCAAUGAAAGUGAGUGGUCGCCUUGAGCUGGUGAUCCGCGAGGGCGCGGGCACGGAGCUGGUGUCUCCGGAGAGCUCGGGUUACAACAGCUCGGCGUCCUCCGCGGCCGGCGAGCGCAGCCCCGCCCCCGCGCCCGCACCUCUCCCCCUCGCCCUCGCCCCUCCCGCCGCGCUGCGUAGGAAGCUCGCCAGCGUCGCUGAGGAAGCCGCCGACAGAGCUGACAGAUUAACCAUGAACCGAAUAAAAAGAAGAACUUGGGACAGUCUAGAUUUCAAAUGGAAAAAUGACGAUACGCACAACUUCGACGCACCUUCUGAUAUAGAGCCCGACUAUGACAGUCCCAGUAUCCCGAACAAUCCACACUCGUACGAAAAGAAAACAAACUUGCGAAAAAAUAAAACAGAUUUCGAACCGGCGCGAGUGACGAGUCCAUUAAAUCGAACUAUUAUAAAUUUAACGGAAGAUGGCGCCACUAUUCAGUGUAGUUAUGAUAACAACCAGACGCCAAGGAAGAAUGUAUUUACGAAUGAAACGAAUAGAGAUAAAGAAAAGAAGACUAUAGUGGUUGAGGUGCAUCACGUGGCCCCCCCGGCGUGCGCCAACACGCACCUCAACUUCCCCCCACCGAUGAAGAAAGAAAUCAAUUCUGACACUUCAAGUAUAUCAAGUACGGCCACCUUAUCUAGCGCUAUCGCCGAGGAAAUACAAAGGCGGAAAAUGAACAAGAAACCGCCUGUUGAAAUCCCGCCUGUAUUAAACCAAGUUAAGAAACCGAUCGCACCGAAGCCAGUUGACGAUAAGAAGAAACAACAUGACGCGUUGAUGGACGAAUUCAAGAAAGUCCAUAGAAAAAUGUUCGCCAACCUAGAUGCGAAUGAUGCGACGCUAACGGAAGAUUGUACAGAUGGCGUGGAUCGCCAACCAACACUGCAGAUAAAGAAAGAAAAAAUCGAACCAGUUCUCCAAGAAGAACCUGUCUGCAAUGGGGUGAAGACGCAUAAAGAUGUCGUAGAUUGCCCGCCACCCCCACCCCCUAUGCCAAUAGCAAACGGUCAUCAAAACGGCGAAAGUAAAAAAGUUGAGAAUCUAAAACCAAAAUCUGAAAAAGUUGAUCACAUUAUUAAUUCAAACGUAAAAAAGGUCGGUACCCUCAAUCGCACGCCUACACCAGAUUAUAACAAUAAAGCAGACACACAAUUGCAGUACAAUUUGAAGAACAUCAAAGAAGAAAAUGCCGAGAUAGAGUCACUCGAAUCGUAUAAAUUAAAGAAUCCUCUGAAUGUACAACCAAAACCACCGCAUAAUUAUUUUGUGCGAGCCCCCAAUGGAACGGCGACUAUGAAAAAAAUCGCAAGACCCGUAUCAGUUACGAUAGGGGAAUACGUUAACAAUGUGGGAAGAAGAGAACCGUUAAAACUUGAUUUCCUCAACGGUGACAAAGUAGACGGCCAUUUAAUCCCAGACGAUGAAUCGAUAUCAAGUAGACUGCAAUCAGAAUUAGCGCUUACAUUGUCUAGAUCCAAUUUACGUAAGAAGACUGAAGCCCUCGAUAAAAAUGUCAAAAUGUCUGUAAAUAAGGUCGUACAUAAGAAAGAGAUUGUAUCUUUAGAUAAGAACUUUCACGUGAGAUACGGUAAUAAUAUUUUACCGCUGCCUCCGUCCAUCAGAAUACCAAAAGUCUCCAAAACUAAACAUUGAUCGAUUCGUGCAACAAUUCGUCCUGUUAUGCUUCUAGCUUCAUAACUUUAUGGAUGUAAUAUAACAUAUAAAGGGAAGUUUUCAAGCGACUAUUAAUGAAAUGCGGAUGCGGGGCGAUGACGUGCGUUUGCUUCAAAUAAUGUCGCAACUAUUUAUUAUUAGGCAAUUUUAGUGCUAG